AAGAAAUUAGCUCAACUGGCAGAGCCGCCGUUUUACACACGGAAGGUUAGGCGUUCAAAUCGCCUAUUUCUUA
rnacentral:tRNA from 1 species